CAAAUACUCCCUCUGUCUCAAAAUUCUUGUUUUAGGUUUGUCUAAAAAUAAAUGUACUUAAAUGCUAAAACAUGACUAGAUACAUUUAUAUCUAGACAAAUCUAAGACGAGAAUUUUAAGACGAAAGGAGUAUUAU
rfam:Hordeum vulgare subsp. vulgare, WGS project CAJW01000000 data, contig: morex_contig_48079